rnacentral:rRNA from 1 species
GAUGAACGCUGGCGGCGUGCUUAACACAUGCAAGUCGAACGAAGCGCUUAAACGGAUUUCUUCGGAUUGAAGUUUUUGCGACUGAGUGGCGGACGGGUGAGUAACGCGUGGGUAACCUGCCUCAUACAGGGGGAUAACAGUUAGAAAUGACUGCUAAUACCGCAUAAGCGCACAGUGCUGCAUGGCACAGUGCGAAAAACUCCGGUGGUAUGAGAUGGACCCGCGUCUGAUUAGCUAGUUGGUGGGGUAACGGCCUACCAAGGCGACGAUCAGUAGCCGGCCUGAGAGGGUGAACGGCCACAUUGGGACUGAGACACGGCCCAAACUCCUACGAGAGGCAGCAGUGGGGAAUAUUGCACAAUGGGGGAAACCCUGAUGCAGCGACGCCGCGUGAGCGAAGAAGUAUUUCGGUAUGUAAAGCUCUAUCAGCAGGGAAGAAAAUGACGGUACCUGACUAAGAAGCACCGGCUAAAUACGUGCCAGCAGCCGCGGUAAUACGUAUGGUGCAAGCGUUAUCCGGAUUUACUGGGUGUAAAGGGAGCGUAGACGGUUGUGUAAGUCUGAUGUGAAAGCCCGGGGCUCAACCCCGGGACUGCAUUGGAAACUAUGUAACUAGAGUGUCGGAGAGGUAAGCGGAAUUCCUAGUGUAGCGGUGAAAUGCGUAGAUAUUAGGAGGAACACCAGUGGCGAAGGCGGCUUACUGGACGAUCACUGACGUUGAGGCUCGAAAGUGUGNGGAGCAAACAGG